CGAAAUGCGAUACGUAGUGUGAAUUGCAGAAUUCCGUGAACCAUCGAAUCUUUGAACGCAUAUUGCGCCCGAGACUUCGGUCAAGGGCAUGUCUGCCUCAGCGUCGGGUUAAUAUCACUCUCCUAAUCCCUGGUGGAUUAGUUAAACUGAGUGGACCUGGCUGUUCCAGAGUUUCAGUGGCGGAUGCUACCGAAAGCUGGAUCAGCUGAAGAACAGAGGUUAGCACAAGGACCCGUUAAGGGCCGCAAUUGGGUAGGCAGUUUACUGCUUCUAAUUGUUGGCUUGGGACCAUGAGCUCGACCCUCUAAUCAGGAACCAAGGUAUAAUAACCCUUAUUUUCUCGACCUGAGCUCAGGCAAGAACACCCGCUGAACUUAAGC
rnacentral:misc_RNA from 1 species